AGGAACAUGUGGUUAAUUCGAUGAUACGCGAGGAACCUUACCUGGGCUUAAAUGUAGAGUGCAUUUUUAGAGAUAGAAAUUCCCUUCGGGGCUUUCUGCAAGGUGCUGCAUGGUUGUCGUCAGCUCGUGCCGUGAGGUGUCGGGUUAAGUCCCAUAACGAGCGCAACCCUUAUCGUUAGUUGCCAGCUGGUAAAGCAGGGGACUCUAGCGAAACUGCCACCGUAAGGUGAGAGGAAGGUGGGAUGACGUCAAAUCAGCACGGCCCUUAUGUCCAGGGCUACACACGUGUUACAAUGGCCGGCACAGAGGGCAGCUACCUGGUGACAGGAUGCUAAUCUCGAAAACCGGUCUCAGUUCGGAUCGAAGUCUGCAACUCGACUUCGUGAAGCUGGAUUCGCUAGUAAUCGCGCAUCAGCUAUGGCGCGGUGAAUACGUUCCCGGGCCUU
rnacentral:rRNA from 1 species